AUUGAACGCUGGCGGCAGGCUUAACACAUGCAAGUCGAGCGAGCGGCGGACGGGUGAGUAAUGUCUGGGAAACUGCCUGAUGGAGGGGGAUAACUACUGGAAACGGUAGCUAAUACCGCAUACCAUCAGAUGUGCCCAGAUGGGAUUAGCUCGUAGGGGGGGUAAUGGCUCACCUAGGCGACGAACCCUAGCUGGUCUGAGGGGAUGACAGGCAACAUUGGAACUGGGCAACGGUCCAGAUUCGUACGGGAGGCAGCAGUGGGGAAUAUUGCACAAUGGGCGCAAGCCUGAUGCAGCCAUGCCGCGUGUGUGAAGAAGGCCUUCGGGUUGUAAGGCACUUUCGGCGAGGAGGCGUUACUCGCAGAAGAAGCACCGGCAAACUCCGUGCCAGCAGCCGCGGUAAUA
rnacentral:rRNA from 1 species